rnacentral:rRNA from 1 species
UUUUUUUUGACAUACAAGGUAUUGAAUAAGGUUUUAAUUGAAUGCUAAAAGAAUGGAAUAUCAAAGAAUAACUUUCUUAAAAUUAAAAAUUGAAAUUUUUUUAAUUUGUGUAAAAACAAUUAUAUAAAUUAAAGACAAGAAGACCCUAAGAAUUUUUAAAAUUUAAAUUAACACAUUUUUGUUUUAAUUAAAUUUUAACUGGGGCGGUUAAAAAAUAUUAAAAACUUUUUAAUUUUGAAAAUGAUCCAUUAUUAAUGAAAAUAUGAUAAAAUACUCUAGGGAUAACAGCGUUAUAUUUUUUGAUAGAUCAUAUUGACAAAAAAGUUUGCGACCUCGAUGUUGGAUUAGGAUACUUUUUUAAUGAAGAUAUUAAAAUAAGAAGUUUGUUCAACUUUUAAAUUCCUACAUGAUCUGAGUUUAGACCGAA